UGGCUCAGCGGUUAGAGCACUGACUGCUCUUCCAGAGGUCCUGGGUUCAAUUCCCAG
rnacentral:tRNA from 1 species